rnacentral:rRNA from 1 species
UACAGAGGGGGCGAGCGUUGUUCGGAAUUACUGGGCGUAAAGCGUGCGCAGGCGGUUCGUUGUGUCGGCGGUGAAAGCCCCGGGCUCAACCUGGGAAUGGCCGUUGAAACUGGCGAACUGGAGUGUGGCAGAGGGGGGUGGAAUUCCGCGUGUAGCAGUGAAAUGCGUAGAGAUGCGGAGGAACACCGAUGGCGAAGGCAGCCCCCUGGGCUAACACUGACGCUCAGGCACGAAAGCGUGGGGAGCAAACAGG